AUCACUAGGGGAGCCGAAAGGCUGAGAAAGUGUUAACUGACCCUCAAUAACCUGAUACGGGUAGUGCCGUCGAAGGGAAGUGCAGUACA
rnacentral:ncRNA from 1 species